rnacentral:rRNA from 1 species
AGUAUCUCUUUUACUUUGAGAAAAUUAGAGUGUUCAAAGCAGGUUCUCGCCUGAAUAUUACUCUUGGAAUAAUACUAUAGGACUCUGGUUCUAAUUUGUUGGUGACUUGGGACCGGAGUAAUGAUUGAUAGGGACGGUUGGGGUGAUUCAUACUGCAAAGCGAGAGGUGAAAUUCUUGGACCUUUGUAUGAUGAACAACUGCGAAAGCAUUUCACUAGGACGUUCCCGUUGAUCAAGAACGAAAGUUGGGGGAUCGAAGACGAUCAGAUACCGUCGUAGUCUCAACCAUAAACUAUGCCAGCUAGGGAUGGGAAGGUGUUUACAAACGACCCUUUCCGCACCUUAUGAGAAAUCAAAGCAUUUGGGUUCCGGGGGGAGUAUGGUCGCAAGGCUGAAACUUAAAGGAAUUGACGGGAGGGCACCACCAGGAGUGGAGCCUGUGGCUUAAUUUGACUCAACACGGGAAAACUUACCAGGUCCGGACAUAGGAAGGAUUGACAGAUUGAAAGCUCUUUCUUGAUUCUAUGGGUGGUGGUGCAUGGCCGUUCUUAGUUGGUGGAGUGAUUUGUCUGGUUAAUUCCGUU